UCCUACGGGGGGCAGCAGUGGGGGAUAUUGCACAAUGGGGGGAACCCUGAUGCAGCGACGCCGCGUGGGUGAAGGAGUAUUUCGGUAUGUAAAGCCCUAUCGGCAGGGAAGAAGCAAGACGGUACCUGACUAAGAAGCCCCGGCUAACUACGUGCCAGCAGCCGCGGUAAUACGUAGGGGGCAAGCGUUAUCCGGAUUUACUGGGUGUAAAGGGAGCGUAGACGGCUGUGCAAGUCUGAAGUGAAAUGCCGGGGCUCAACCCCGGAACUGCUUUGGAAACUGUACAGCUAGAGUGCAGGAGGGGG
rnacentral:rRNA from 1 species